rnacentral:lncRNA from 1 species
CCAUAUGUUCGACCUCACCAAGGAAAAGACAAAAAAAGAAGAGAACAAACCCCAGUGAGCAAAAAUUCAAGGGAAAAUUGACGGAUUUCAAGGAAUUAAGCAACUAAAGGUAAAAUUUCUUGAUUUUAGCUUGUGAUCUACCUUUCCUAUGCAUUCUUUUUCAUUUUCCAUGGUUGAGAAUCAAGUUUGCAUGAAGAUACCUUUGCUGGCUGGACAUGGGGGGAGGGGUUUUGAUCUUGGAUUUAGCUAGAUUUCAUGUUAUUCUAGUGUUUUUAGUUGGUUGGUCAUGUUUAGCAUGGAAAACAAGCAAGAAAUUUCAU